rnacentral:rRNA from 1 species
GACGAACGCUGGCGGCGUGCUUAACACAUGCAAGUCGAGCGGUAAGGCCUUGCGGGGUACGCGAGCGGCGAACGGGUGAGUAACACGUGGGUGAUCUGCCCUGCACUUCGGGAUAAGCCUGGGAAACUGGGUCUAAUACCGGAUAUGACCUCCUAUCGCAUGGUGGGUGGUGGGAAGAUUUAUCGGUGCAGGAUGGGCCCGCGGCCUAUCAGCUUGUUGGUGGGGUAAUGGCCUACCAAGGCGACGACGGGUAGCCGACCUGAGAGGGUGACCGGCCACACUGGGACUGAGACACGGCCCAGACUCCUACGGGAGGCAGCAGUGGGGAAUAUUGCACAAUGGGCGGAAGCCUGAUGCAGCGACGCCGCGUGCGGGAUGACGGCCUUCGGGUUGUAAACCUCUUUCGGCAGGGGCGAAGCGCAAGUGACGGUACCGGGAGAAGAAGCACCGGCUAACUACGUG